rnacentral:rRNA from 1 species
UAGGUAACCUGCCUUGUAGCGGGGGAGUAACUAUUGGAAACGAUAGCUAAUACCGCAUAACAAUGGAUGACACAUGUCAUUUAUUUUGAAAGGGGCAAUUGCUCCACUACAAGAUGGACCUGCGUUGUAUUAGCUAGUAGGUGAGGUAAUGGCUCACCUAGGCGACGAUACAUAGCCGACCUGAGAGGGUGAUCGGCCACACUGGGACUGAGACACGGCCCAGACUCCUACGGGAGGCAGCAUG